rnacentral:lncRNA from 1 species
CGGACGGUCGGACAGUCUGUCGGUCAUGCCACCCGAUUAUAUCCCUCGAUCGCUACCCACGUCCGGAACCGAGUAGGGGGUACCCUCGGUCUGCCCAGACUCCACCAACACCCACCCCCCUAUAUAGCUUUUUGUCCUUUUCUGGGUCUGGCACCAGUGGAGAUGCAAAUGUCUGAGGAGUCACUGGUGCCAAAAAAAAAAAAUACUUGGAAUUUUGUUCUGAUUUUUUGCAUGCUUCAUAAGGAUAGUAAAUCCUAUUUUCUGGUAAAUUUUCGUAAUUUUAGGAGACCUCUAGCUUGGUCUUUCGAGCUAAACCAACAUCGGAUGAUCAUGGCCUAGCCCGGGCUCCGUGGGCACAUUUGAUGCAAGCUUGACAUCCUACACUCUUUAUUGAUGUAUUUUAGACUUUCGAUCGUAAAAAAAUGCAUCCCGUACGAUGAUUUUUAAAAGUUGGUUCGGCACAUACUAUUUCCUCGGCCAUACGGACGUCCGGAUGCGUACUGAUCGACGAUCCAUCGUACUGAUCGAAUUUUUUUCGAGGAUUUCACGAACGUUACUCUUUAUUGAUGCAUUUUAAGACUUUCGAUCGUAAAAAAAUUCAUCCCGUACGAUGAUUUUCAAAAGUUGAUUCGGGACUUACUUUUUCCUCGGCCAUCCGGACGUCCGGAUGCGUACUGAUCGACGAUCCGUCGUACUGAUCGAUUUUUUAUCGAGUAUUUCUCGAACGUUACUCUUUAUUGAUGCAUUUUAAGACUUUCGAUCGUAAAAAACUUCAUCCCGUACGAUGAUUUUCAAAACUUGGUUCGGGACUUAGUAUUUCCUCGGCCAUCCGGACGUCCGGAUGCGUACUGAUCGACGAUCCGUCGUACUGAUCGAUUUUUUAUCGAGUAUUUCUCGAACGUUACUCUUUAUUGAUGCAUUUUAAGACUUUCGAUCGUAAAAAAUCCCGUACGAUGAUUUUCAAAACUUGGUUCGGGACUUAGUAUUUCCUCGGCCAACCGGACGUCCGGAUGCGUACUGAUCGACGAUCCAUCGUACUGAUCGAAUUUUUUUCGAGGAUUUCACGAACGUCACUCUUUAUUGAUGCAUUUUACGACUUUCGAUCGUAAAAAACUUCAUCCCGUACGAUGAUUUUCAAAAGUUGAUUCGGGACUUACUUUUUCCUCGGCCAUCCGGACGUCCGGAUGCGUACUGAUCGACGAUCCGUCGAACUGAUCGAUUUUUUAUCGAGUAUUUCUCGAACGUUACUCUUUAUUGAUGCAUUUUAAGACUUUCGAUCGUAAAAAACUUCAUCCCGUACGAUGAUUUUCAAAACUUGGUUCGGGACUUAGUAUUUCCUCGGCCAUCCGGACGUCCGGAUGCGUACUGAUCGACGAUCCGUCGUACUGAUCGAUUUUUUAUCGAGUAUUUCUCGAACGUUACUCUUUAUUGAUGCAUUUUAAGACUUUCGAUCGUAAAAAACUUCAUCCCGUACGAUGAUUUUCAAAAGUUGAUUCGGGACUUACUUUUUCCUCGGCCAUCCGGACGUCCGGAUGCGUACUGAUCGACGAUCCGUCGUACUGAUCGAUUUUUUAUCGAGUAUUUCUCGAACGUUACUCUUUAUUGAUGCAUUUUAAGACUUUCGAUCGUAAAAAACUUCAUCCCGUACGAUGAUUUUAAAAAGUUGAUUCGGGACUUACUUUUUCCUCGGCCAUCCGGACGUCCGGAUGCGUACUGAUCGAUGAUCCGUCGUACUGAUCGAUUUUUUAUCGAGUAUUUCUCAAACGUUACUCUUUAUUGAUGCAUUUUAAGACUUUCGAUCGUAAAAAACUUCAUCUCGUACGAUGAUUUUCAAAAGUUGAUUCGGGACUUACUUUUUCCUCGGCCAUCCGGACGUCCGGAUGCGUACUGAUCGAUGAUCCGUCGUACUGAUCGAUUUUUUAUCGAGUAUUUCUCAAACGUUACUCUUUAUUGAUGCAUUUUAAGACUUUCGAUCGUAAAAAACUUCAUCCCGUACGAUGAUUUUCAAAACUUGGUUCGGGACUUAGUAUUUCCUCGGCCAUCCGGACGUCCGGAUGCGUACUGAUCGAUGAUCCGUCGUACUGAUCGAUUUUUUAUCGAGUAUUUCUCAAACGUUACUCUUUAUUGAUGCAUUUUAAGACUUUCGAUCGUAAAAAACUUCAUCCCGUACGAUGAUUUUCAAAACUUGGUUCGGGACUUAGUAUUUCCUCGGCCAUCCGGACGUCCGGAUGCGUACUGAUCGACGAUCCGUCGUACUGAUCGAUUUUUCCUCGAGUAUUUCUCGAACGUUGUAUUUUUUUCAUAAUUUUAAGACUUUCGAUCGUAAAAAACUUCAUCCCGUACGAUGAUUAUCAAAAGUUGAUUCGGGACUUACUUUUUUCUCGGCCAUCCGUACGUACUGAUACACGUACUGAUCGUACUGACGCAUGUACUGAUCGACGAUUCCGCGUGCAGAUCGACGAUUUCUCGUUAGCGAUAGAUUUUUCUCGAUGAUUCCAAG